rnacentral:rRNA from 1 species
AAUCAACGCUGGCGGCGUGCCUCAGACAUGCAAGUCGAACGAUUAAGACUCUCUUCGGAGAGUGCAUAAAGUGGCGCACGGGUGAGUAACACGUAAGUAAUCUACCUUUGGGUGGGGAAUAACAGUCGGAAACGACUGCUAAUACCGCAUAAUGCAGCGGCUCCUUAUGGAGACAGUUGUUAAAGAUUUAUCGCCUAAAGAGGAGCUUGCGGCAGAUUAGCAGUUGGUAAGGUAACGGCUUACCAAGGCGACGAUCUGUAUCCGACCUGAGAGGGUGGUCGGACACACUGACACUGAAUAACGGGUCAGACUCCUACGGGAGGCAGCAGUCGGGAAUUUGGGCAAUGGGCGAAAGCCUGACCCAGCAACGCCGCGUGAAGGAUGAAGUCUUUCGGGA